CAUAGGUUUGGUCCCAGCCUUCCUGUUAACUCUUAAUAAACUUACACAUGCAAGCAUCUACACCCCAGUGAGAAUGCCCUCUAGGUUAUUAAAACUAAGAGGAGCUGGCAUCAAGCACACACCCUGUAGCUCACGACGCCUUGCUUAACCACACCCCCACGGGAAACAGCAGUGACAAAAAUUAAGCCAUAAACGAAAGUUUGACUAAGUUAUAUUAAUUAGGGUUGGUAAAUCUCGUGCCAGCCACCGCGGUCAUACGAUUAACCCAAGCUAACAGGAGUACGGCGUAAAACGUGUUAAAGCACCAUACCAAAUAGGGUUAAAUUCUAACUAAGCUAUAAAAAGCCAUGAUUAAAAUAAAAAUAAAUGACGAAAGUGACCCUACAAUAGC
rnacentral:rRNA from 1 species